UGGGGAAUAUUGGACAAUGGGGGGAACCCUGAUCCAGCGACGCCGCGUGAGUGAAGAAGUACUUCGGUAUGUAAAGCUCUAUCAGCAGGGAAGAAAAUGACGGUACCUGACUAAGAAGCCCCGGCUAACUACGUGCCAGCAGCCGCGGUAAUACGUAGGGGGCCAGCGUUAUCCGGAUUUACUGGGUGUAAAGGGAGCGCAGACGGUUUUGCAAGUCUGAAGUGAAAGCCCGAGGCUUAACCUCGGAGUUGCUUUGGAAACUGUAUAACUAGAGUAUCGGAGAGGUAAGUGGAAUUCCUAGUGUAGCGGUGAAAUGCGUAGAUAUUAGGAGGAACACCGGUGGCGAAGGCGGCUUACUGGACGAAAACUGACAUUGAGGCUCGAAGGCGUGGGGAGCAAACAGG
rnacentral:rRNA from 1 species